rnacentral:lncRNA from 1 species
CCCACAGAGCACAGCAAGCAGAUGACAGUGAAUAAGAUCAUGGUGCACGCUGACUAUAACGAGUUGCACCGCAUGGGGAGUGACAUCACCCUGCUGCAGCUGCACCGUCAUGUGGAAUUCAGCUCCCACAUCCUCCCCGCCUGCCUUCCGGAACCAACCACGUGGCUGGCCCCUGACAGCUCCUGCUGGAUAUCUGGUUGGGGAAUGGUCACCGAGGAUGCUUCCUGCCUGAGCCCUUCCAACUUCAGGAGGCAGAGGUCGGUGUCAUGGACAACACUGUCUGCGGAUCCUUUUUCCAGCCCCAGUACCCCGGCCAGCCAAGCAGCAGUGACUACACCAUCCACGAGGACAUGCUGUGCGCUGGGGACCUCAUAACAGGAAAGGCCAUUUGCCGACAUGUUCCUACGUGAAGCAUGGAGUUACGCAAUGGCCUGCCUGUCCAUGAAGUUCCUCUGGCCUCCUCCGAUUCUGUGGCUGCAAAUCCACACCUAGGAGCUCCGCAGGCCUGCUGGAGCACAGCGCCUGUAGGUUUCUGCGCCU